GCGUAUAUUAAGUUGUUGCAGUUAAAAAGCUCGUAGUUGAAUUUCGGGGUCAGCAGGUUGGUCGUGCCACUGGUAUGUACUGGCUUCGCUGAUUCCUCCUUUCUGAAGAACUGUAAUGCCAUUAAUUUGGUGUUGCAGGGAAACAGGACUGUUACUUUGAAAAAAUUAGAGUGUUUAAAGCAGGCUAACGCUUGAAUACAUUAGCAUGGAAUAAUGAAAUAGGACGUUUGAUCCUAUUUUGUUGGUUUCUAGGAUUGACGUAAUGAUUAAUAGGGAUAGUUGGGGGCAUUAGUAUUCAAUUGUCAGAGGUGAAAUUCUUGGAUUUAUUGAAGACUAACUACUGCGAAAGCAUUUGCCAAGGAUGUUUUCAUUAAUCAAGAACGAAAGUUAGGGGAUCGAAGACGAUCAGAUACCGUCGUAGUCUUAACCAUAAA
rnacentral:rRNA from 1 species